UACGAAGGGGGCGAGCGUUGUUCGGAUUUACUGGGCGUAAAGGGCGCGCAGGCGGCUAUCCAAGUCAGGCGUGAAAGCCCCGGGCUUAACCUGGGAGGUGCGUCUGGGACUGGGUGGCUAGAGUUCGGGAGAGGAGAGUGGAAUUCCCAGUGUAGAGGUGAAAUUCGUAGAUAUUGGGAAGAACACCGGUGGCGAAGGCGGCUCUCUGGUCCAUUACUGACGCUGAGGUGCGAAAGCGUGGGGAGCAAACAGG
rnacentral:rRNA from 1 species